rnacentral:rRNA from 1 species
GAUGAACGCUGGCGGCGUGCCUAAUACAUGCAAGUCGAGCGAACGGACGAGAAGCUUGCUUCUCUGAUGUUAGCGGCGGACGGGUGAGUAACACGUGGAUAACCUACCUAUAAGACUGGGAUAACUUCGGGAAACCGGAGCUAAUACCGGAUAAUAUUUUGAACCGCAUGGUUCAAAAGUGAAAGACGGUCUUGCUGUCACUUAUAGAUGGAUCCGCGCUGCAUUAGCUAGUUGGUAAGGUAACGGCUUACCAAGGCAACGAUGCAUAGCCGACCUGAGAGGGUGAUCGGCCACACUGGAACUGAGACACGGUCCAGACUCCUACGGGAGGCAGCAGUAGGGAAUCUUCCGCAAUGGGCGAAAGCCUGACGGAGCAACGCCGCGUGAGUGAUGAAGGUCUUCGGAUCGUAAAACUCUGUUAUUAGGGAAGAACAUAUGUGUAAGUAACUGUGCACAUCUUGACGGUACCUAAUCAGAAAGCCACGGCUAACUACGUGCCAGCAGCCGCGGUAAUACGUAGGUGGCAAGCGUUAUCCGGAAUUAUUGGGCGUAAAGCGCGCGUAGGCGGUUUUUUAAGUCUGAUGUGAAAGCCCACGGCUCAACCGUGGAGGGUCAUUGGAAACUGGAAAACUUGAGUGCAGAAGAGGAAAGUGGAAUUCCAUGUGUAGCGGUGAAAUGCGCAGAGAUAUUGAGGAACACCAGUGGCGAAGGCGACUUUCUGGUCUGUAACUGACGCUGAUGUGCGAAAGCGUGGGGAUCAAACAGGAUUAGAUACCCUGGUAGUCCACGCCGUAAACGAUGAGUGCUAAGUGUUAGGGGGUUUCCGCCCCUUAGUGCUGCAGCUAACGCAUUAAGCACUCCGCCUGGGGAGUACGACCGCAAGGUUGAAACUCAAAGGAAUUGACGGGGACCCGCACAAGCGGUGGAGCAUGUGGUUUAAUUCGAAGCAACGCGAAGAACCUUACCAAAUCUUGACAUCCUUUGACAACUCUAGAGAUAGAGCCUUCCCCUUCGGGGGACAAAGUGACAGGUGGUGCAUGGUUGUCGUCAGCUCGUGUCGUGAGAUGUUGGGUUAAGUCCCGCAACGAGCGCAACCCUUAAGCUUAGUUGCCAUCAUUAAGUUGGGCACUCUAAGUUGACUGCCGGUGACAAACCGGAGGAAGGUGGGGAUGACGUCAAAUCAUCAUGCCCCUUAUGAUUUGGGCUACACACGUGCUACAAUGGACAAUACAAAGGGCAGCGAAACCGCGAGGUCAAGCAAAUCCCAUAAAGUUGUUCUCAGUUCGGAUUGUAGUCUGCAACUCGACUACAUGAAGCUGGAAUCGCUAGUAAUCGUAGAUCAGCAUGCUACGGUGAAUACGUUCCCGGGUCU